GUGGGGGCGCUUCCGGCAGCGGCGGCGGUGGUGAAGGCCGAUGCUGUGGGGGUGGGCGUGGAGAGAAUUCUUCUGUGGGUCCUCUGGUGUUGAGUGGUCGGCUUGGUGUGGUGUGCGGAGGAGCUCCAGGCCCGUCGGCGCGGAGGCUUUCAGGUAUAGGCUGGGUCACUAGUCUUAAAACAUUUCUUCUUGAGAAUGUCUAAAAGACUGUGGAAUCUGUUAGAUCUUAUAUACUUUUAAGUUGGCACCUGAAACUUUUCAUCCUAGAUUUACAUAGUGGUCUUGCUGUGUUGCCCAGCCUGGUCUUGAAUUCCUGGACUCAAGUGAUGCUCCUGCCUUGGCUUCCCAAACUCCUGGAAUUACAACUUGGUCUCACGUGUGAAACAUGGCUACAGAUUGGCUGGGAAGUAUUGUGUCCAUCAAUUGUGGAGAUAGCUUGGGUGUCUAUCAGGGAAGAGUGUCAGCUGUGGAUCAGGUCA
rnacentral:lncRNA from 10 species